rnacentral:rRNA from 1 species
GCUCAACAGCUAGCCCAUCCAAUAAAAAUCAACACUCACUAUUAAUACCCCCCAACACCCUUCAACACAAUAAACAAAACAUUUUUCCACCCAAGUACGAGCGACGGAAAAGGAACUAGGAGCUAUAGAAAAAGUACCGCAAGGGAAAGCUGAAAGAGAAAUGAAAUAACCCAGUAAAGCCUAAUAAAGCAGAGACAAGCCCUCUAUUUU